AUACGUAGGGUGCGAGCGUUAAUCGGAAUUACUGGGCGUAAAGCGUGCGCAGGCGGUUUUGUAAGUCUGUUGUGAAAUCCCCGGGCUCAACCUGGGGACUGCCAUUGUGACUGCACGGCUAGAGUACGGCAGAGGGGGGUGGAAUUCCGCGUGUAGCAGUGAAAUGCGUAGAGAUGUGGAGGAAUACCGAUGGCGAAGGCAACCCCCUGGGAUGGUACUGACGCUCAUGCACGAAAGCGUGGGGAGCAAACAGGAUUAGAUACCCUGGUAGUCCACGCCCUAAACGAUGUCAAUUGGCUGUUGGGGGUUAAAAUCCUUGGUAGCGAAGCUAACGCGUGAAGUUGACCGCCUGGGGAGUACGGCCGCAAGGUUGA
rnacentral:rRNA from 1 species